AUCAAAACGACUCUCGGCAACGGAUAUCUCGGCUCUUGCAUCGAUGAAGAACGUAGCGAAAUGCGAUACUUGGUGUGAAUUGCAGAAUCCCGUGAACCAUCGAGUCUUUGAACGCAAGUUGCGCCCAAAGCCAUUAGGCCGAGGGCACGCCUGCCUGGGUGUCACAC
rnacentral:rRNA from 1 species